GUGCUUCUCUGGCCUCAGCUCUGAAGUCCAACCCCUCCCAUCUGACAGAGCUGGACCUGAGUCUGAACGACCUGCAGGAUUCAGGAGUGAAGCUGCUGUCUGAUCUUGUGGAGAGUCCACACUGUAAACUGAAGACUCUGAAGACUCUGAAGACUUCGAGUGGGUGAGUGGACGGCAGCUGACAAACACAGAGAAUCUGACUCUGAUGUCAAACAGGAUGUGAAAAAAAAGCUCCAUGCCCG